rnacentral:rRNA from 1 species
UACGAAGGAGGCUAGCGUUGUUCGGAUUUACUGGGCGUAAAGCGCAUGUAGGCGGGUCGUUAAGUUGGGGGUGAAAUCCCGAGGCUCAACCUCGGAACUGCCUUCAAAACUGGCGACCUGGAGCAAGAUAGAGGCAAGUGGAAUUGCGAGUGUAGAGGUGAAAUUCGUAGAUAUUCGCAGGAACACGAGUGGCGAAGGCGACUUGCUGGAUCUUUGUUGACGCUGAGAUGCGAAAGCGUGGGGAGCAAACAGG